rnacentral:rRNA from 1 species
UACGGGGGGGGCAAGCGUUGUUCGGAAUUACUGGGCGUAAAGAGCUCGUAGGCGGCUCAUUGCGUCAACCGUGAAAACCAGCAGCUCAACUGUUGGCUUGCGGUUGAUACGGGUGGGCUGGAGUUCGGUAGGGGAGACUGGAAUUCCUGGUGUAGCGGUGAAAUGCGCAGAUAUCAGGAGGAACACCGAUGGCGAAGGCAGGUCUCUGGGCAUUAACUGACGCUGAGGAGCGAAAGCAUGGGGAGCGAACAGG